rnacentral:tRNA from 1 species
UGGGAUGUAGCUCAGUGGUAGAGCACUUGCUUGGCAUGUGGAAGGCCCCAGGUUCAAUUUCCAGCAUCACAG